GACGAACGCUGGCGGCGUGCUUAACACAUGCAAGUCGAACGGAAAGGCCCUGCUUUUGUUGGGUGCUCGAGUGGCGAACGGGUGAGUAACACGUGAGUAACCUGCCCUUGACUUUGGGAUAACUUCAGGAAACUGGGGCUAAUACCGGAUAGGAGCUCCUGCUGCAUGGUGGGGGUUGGAAAGUUUCGGCGGUUGGGGAUGGACUCGCGGCUUAUCAGCUUGUUGGUGGGGUAGUGGCUUACCAAGGCUUUGACGGGUAGCCGGCCUGAGAGGGUGACCGGCGACAUUGGGACUGAGAUACGGCCCAGACUCCUACGGGAGGCAGCAGUGGGGAAUAUUGCACAAUGGGCGGAAGCCUGAUGCAGCAACGCCGCGUGCGGGAUGACGGCCUUCGGGUUGUAAACCGCUUUCGCCUGUGACGAAGCGGGAGUGACGGUAAUGGGUAAAGAAGCACCGGCUAACUACGUG
rnacentral:rRNA from 1 species